UACUAUACCAUAAGAACACUCAAAGAGCCCUAUGGAGAGAAUCUAUCUCAUGGCAAGGAAAUGUGGAUUCCUGCCAACAGCCACUGAAGAACUGAGGCCUUCCAGCAAAUAACCACUGAGUGAGCCAAAUUGGGAGUGAAUCUUCCAGCACCAAUGAAUCCUCAAAAUGACUACAGCCCCAGCUGACAUCUUGAAUGCCACCUCAUAAGAGAUCCUGACCUGGAGCCAUCCUGCCAAGCUGCUCCCAGAUUCCUGACCCUCAGAAACCAUAUUAUGGGCUAAUUGUCACCUGCUACACGUGGAAGGAAGAGAUGUUCAGCAUGGCACUGAUCAAUGUGUAUAUUAACUGGGAAGUUUACCUCCAGGAGAAAAGAGAAAACCAGCUGUGUGAAUGGAAUUUGGAGAAAGGGCACAACCAUCAGACGAAGUGGGAGGAAGAAACAUUAACUUCAACAGCUGUUUCUUGACCCCGGCUGUCAGUCUUCC